CAGUCGCCACGGGAAUACGAAGGGGGCUAACGUUGUUCGGAUUUACUGGGCGUAAAGGGUGCGUAGGCGGAUUGUUAAGUCAGGGGUGAAAUGCCGGGGCUCAACCUCGGAACUGCCUUUGAUACUGGCGAUCUUGAGUCCGGGAGAGGUGAGUGGAACUGCGAGUGUAGAGGUGAAAUUCGUAGAUAUUCGCAAGAACACCAGUGGCGAAGGCGGCUCACUGGCCCGGAACUGACGCUGAGGCACGACAGCGUGGGGAGCAAACAGGAUUAGAUACCCCGGUAGUCCCUGUCUCUUAUAC
rnacentral:rRNA from 1 species